rnacentral:SRP_RNA from 1 species
GCUGGGUGCAGUGGCACAUGCCUGUAGUCCCAGCUACUUGGGAGGCUGAGGUGGGAGGAUUGCUUGAGCCCAGGUGUUCUGGGCUGUAGUGUUCCAUGCCGAUCAGGUGUCUGCACUAAGUUCAGCAUCAGUAUGGUGACCUCCCGGGAGCGGGGGACCACCAGGUUGCCUAAGGAGGAGUGAACUGGCCCAGGUCAGAAACGGAGCAGGUCAAAACUCCUGUGCUGAUCAGUAGUGGUAUUGCACCUGUGAAUAGCCACUGCAGUCCAGCCUGGGCAACAUAGCAAGACCCCAUCUCU